rnacentral:tRNA from 1 species
CUUAGCUCAGCUGGUAGAGCAGUAGACUCUUAAUCUAUUUGUCCAGGGUUCGAGUCCCUGAA